AGUGAACGCUGGCGGUAGGCCUAACACAUGCAAGUCGAACGGCAGCACAGUAAGAGCUUGCUCUUACGGGUGGCGAGUGGCGGACGGGUGAGGAAUACAUCGGAAUCUACUUUUUCGUGGGGGAUAACGUAGGGAAACUUACGCUAAUACCGCAUACGACCUACGGGUGAAAGCAGGGGAUCUUUGGACCUGGCGGGAUUGAAUGAGCCGAUGGCUGAUUAGCUAGUUGGCGGGGUAAAGGCCCACCAAGGCGACGAUCCGUAGCCGGUCUGAGAGGAUGGCCAGCCACACUGGGACUGAGAGACGGACCAGACUCCUACGGGAGGCAGCAGUGGGGAAUAUUGCACAAUGGGCGCAAGCCUGAUGCAGCAACGCCGCGUGCGGGAUGACGGCCUUCGGGUUGUAAACCGCUUUCGCCUGUGACGAAGCGUGAGUGACGGUAAUGGGUAAAGAAGCACCGGCUAACUACGUG
rnacentral:rRNA from 1 species